GACGAGCCUCACAAACGUUAUUCGGAAUUACUGGGCUUAAAGGGUGCGUAGGCGGCGCGGAAAGUUGGGUGUGAAAUCCCUCGGCUCAACCGAGGAACUGCGCCCAAAACUACCGUGCUCGAGGAAGAUAGAGGUGAGCGGAACUUACGGUGGAACGGUGAAAUGCGUUGAUAUCGUAAGGAACACCCGUGGCGAAAGCGGCUCACUGGGUCUUCUCUGACGCUGAUGCACGAAAGCUAGGGGAGCAAACGGG
rnacentral:rRNA from 1 species